rnacentral:lncRNA from 1 species
AUCCCGAGAAGAGUAUAAACUGAUACGGGCAUCAUACAAUGCCUGAUCAUUUACCAAAGAAGAUAGCUUGGGUGUUUUGGUGGUAAUCAGAGUUAAAUAAGCCAUCUCAUUCUCAAAAAGAAUUUCAUCAUUAGAGUUAUGUUUGGUGUCCAGACAUCCUCAAGAAGUCCUAAAAUUCUAUAGAAUAGAAGUCCGGAUGAAAGAAAAAUGGCCUUUCCAGCCAUGAAUUGAAGAGAGAAGACUAGGUCCAAACUUAUGAUUUUUUCAAGAUGAAAAGUACCACCAACCUUUCUCACUUAGAUACCUUUUCAAAAAAACCAAAGACCUAAACAAGGAGAUUCUAAGAUCCAUGUGAAGGAAAUUACAUAUGAUUAUGAAUACUAUGAUCAUUCUAAUUGCGUUUGGAGUUAUCUAGGUGGGGUGGACCCUAUAAAAAUCAAAGACAUUGCUAAAAAAAUGGUGCAGUGAAAAUCAUAGGCU